rnacentral:rRNA from 1 species
AUACGGAGGGUGCGAGCGUUAAUCGGAAUUACUGGGCGUAAAGCGUACGUAGGCGGUUGGUUAAGUUAGAUGUGAAAGCCCCGGGCUUAACCUGGGAACUGCAUUUAAAACUGGCGAACUAGAGUUGAGUAGAGGGGAGUGGAAUUUCAGGUGUAGCGGUGAAAUGCGUAGAGAUCUGAAGGAACACCAGUGGCGAAGGCGACUCCCUGGACUCGAACUGACGCUGAGGUACGAAAGCGUGGGUAGCAAAUGGGAUUAGAAACCCUAGUAGUCC